UAUGUUAUUAAAGUAGUAGUUCGUGUUUCGAUAUAUAUCGCAUUGCAGGGAGCUCCAGGCCUUGAUGGCAUCAGCAACAAAAAGCGAGGUAUGAAGGGUGAGCAAGGAGUCGUCGGAGAAAUGGGAGUGGAGGGUGACGCUGGAUAUGUAGGAGCCCUCGGCUGGAAGGGCGAGCGUGGAUCACCUGGAGAAACAGGCCCCAAGGUGAAAUCUUUUGAAAGCGAAGCAUUCAUUCUAGCAUGCAAAACUGGAAAGAUCUUUCUUUAUGAGCU